rnacentral:rRNA from 1 species
UACGUAGGGAGCAAGCGUUGCCCGGAAUCAUUGGGCGUAAAGCGCGCGUAGGCGGCCCUGUAAGUCCGUUGUGAAAGUCAAAGGCUCAACCUUUGAAAGCCGAUGGAUACUGCAGGGCUAGAGUCCGGAAGAGGCGAGUGGAAUUCCUGGUGUAGCGGUGGAAUGCGCAGAUAUCAGGAGGAACACCAAUAGCGAAGGCAGCUCGCUGGGACGGUACUGACGCUGAGACGCGAAAGCGUGGGGAGCAAACAGG